rnacentral:snRNA from 1 species
GGAUGUGAGGGCAAUCUGGCUGCAAUAUCUUUCACCCCAUUGAUUUCCAGGGUUGAUUUGGUUGAUCUGGCUGGCUAGGUAGAUGUCUCCUUCUUCCCUCACCACUCCAUGUGCAUCCCUACCAAAACUGUGCACUCGGUCAAAGAGGACAGCCAUCCCUGAUAGAGAAGGACUGGUCUUCAGUCAAGGGUAUAUCAGUAGCUAUAUCCCCUUCUAGAACCUCCAAAUAAGCUCUCAAGGUCAAUUUGUAGGAGAACAUAGUGUAGUCCAAGGCUUCGCAAGACUCCAGACACAUCCAAAUGAGGUGCUGCAUGUGGCAGUGUUGCCUUUAUAA